AUUGAACGCUGGCUGCAGGCCUAACACAUGCAAGUCGAGCUAGCGGCGGACGGGUGAGUAAUGUCUGGGAAACUGCCUGAUGGAGGGGGAUAACUACUGGAAACGGUAGCUAAUACCGCAUACCAUCAGAUGUGCCCAGAUGGGAUUAGCUAGUAGGUGGGGUAAUGGCUCACCUAGGCGACGAUCCCUAGCUGGUCUGAGCGGAUGACCAUGCACACGGGAACUGAGACACGGUCCAGACGCCUACGGGAGGCAGCAGUGGGGAAGAGUGCACAAUGGGCGCAAGCAUGAUGCAGCCAUGCUGAGUGUGUGAAGAAGGCCUUCGGGUUGUAAAGCACUUUCAGCGGGUAGGCGUUACCCGCAGAAGAAGCACCGGCUAACUCCGUGCCAGCAGCCGCGGUAAUAC
rnacentral:rRNA from 1 species